CCUACGGGAGGCAGCAGUGGGGAAUAUUGCACAAUGGGCGAAAGCCUGAUGCAGCAACGCCGCGUGAAGGAAGAAGGGUUUCGGCUCGUAAACUUCUAUUAACAGGGACGAAAGAAAUGACGGUACCUGAAUAAGAAGCGCCGGCUAACUACGUGCCAGCAGCCGCGGCAAUACGGAGGGGGCAAGAGUUAUCCGGAAUUACUGGGUGUAAAGGGUGAGUAGGCGGCAUGGUAAGCCAGAUGGGAAAGCCUUGGGCUUAAACCGAGGAUUGCAUUUGGAACUAGCAGGCUGGAGUACAGGAGAGGAAAGCGGAAUUCCUGGUGUAGCGGUGAAAUGCGUAGAUAUUAGGAAGAACCCCAGUGGCGAAGGCAGCGUUCUGGACUGAAACUGACGCUGAGGCACGAAAGCGUGGGGAGCGAACAGGAUUAGAUACCCCAGUAGUC
rnacentral:rRNA from 1 species